UGGGGGAUAUUGCACAAUGGGCGAAAGCCUGAUGCAGCGACGCCGCGUGGGGGAUGAAGGCUUUCGGGUUGUAAACCUCUUUCGCUAUCGAACAAGGCCCGCUUAGGGUGGGUUGAGGGUAGGUGGAGAAGAAGCGCCGGCUAACUACGUGCCAGCAGCCGCGGUAAUACGUAGGGCGCGAGCGUUGUCCGGAAUUAUUGGGCGUAAAGGGCUUGUAGGCGGCUUGUUGCGCCUGCUGUGAAAACGCGGGGCUUAACUUCGCGCGUGGAGUGGGUACGGGCAGGCUUGAGUGUGGUAGGGGUGACUGGAAUUCCAGGUGUAGCGGUGGAAUGCGCAGAUAUCUGGAGGGACACCGAUGGCGAAGGCAGGUCACUGGGCCAUUACUGACGCUGAGGAGCGAAAGCAUGGGUAGCGAACAGG
rnacentral:rRNA from 1 species